UACAGAGGGUCCAAGCGUUAAUCGGAAUCACUGGGCUUAAAGGGUGCGUAGGCGGACCCGCAAGUACCUUGUGAAAUCCCACGGCUCAACCGUGGAAUUGCUUGGUAUACUACGGGUCUUGAGAUUGGUAGAGGCUGUCGGAACUCUAGGUGGAGCGGUGAAAUGCGUAGAUAUCUAGAGGAACACCCAUGGCGAAGGCAGACAGCUGGGCCGAUUCUGACGCUGAGGCACGAAAGCGUGGGUAGCAAACGGG
rnacentral:rRNA from 1 species